rnacentral:ncRNA from 1 species
GAACGCCCUAUGCGGUGAAAGUCGCACGUAGGGUGUGGACCAAACGAAAUCCUAUGUAUUUAGGAUAGUGAGGGAUAGCAGUGAAUCAGCAGACAGUGGUGAGCAUAAAAUAGAAU